rnacentral:rRNA from 1 species
UGGGGAAUUUUGCACAAUGGGGGAAACCCUGAUGCAGCGACGCCGCGUGAUCUAGAAGGCCUUCGGGUUGUAAAAAUCUUUUUUACGGGAUGAAAAUGACAGUACCGUAAGAAUAAGGUCCGGCUAAAUACGUGCCAGCAGCCGCGGUAAUACGUAUGGACCGAGCGUUGUCCGGAAUCAUUGGGCGUAAAGGGUACGUAGGCGGCCUAGUAAGUUAGAAGUGAAAUAAUAUAGCUCAACUAUAUAAAGCUUUUAAAACUGCUAGGCUUGAGAGAUGGAAGGGAAAGUGGAAUUCCUAGUGUAGCGGUGAAAUGCGCAGAUAUUAGGAAGAAUACCGGUGGCGAAGGCGACUUUCUGGUCAUCAUCUGACGCUGAGGUACGAAAGCGUGGGUAGCAAACAGG